rnacentral:rRNA from 1 species
UAGAGAGAAGCUUGCUUCUCUUGAGAGCGGCGGACGGGUGAGUAAUGCCUAGGAAUCUGCCUGGUAGUGGGGGAUAACGUUCGGAAACGAACGCUAAUACCGCAUACGUCCUACGGGAGAAAGCAGGGGACCUUCGGGCCUUGCGCUAUCAGAUGAGCCUAGGUCGGAUUAGCUAGUUGGUGAGGUAAUGGCUCACCAAGGCGACGAUCCGUAACUGGUCUGAGAGGAUGAUCAGUCACACUGGAACUGAGACACGGUCCAGACUCCUACGGGAGGCAGCAGUGGGGAAUAUUGGACAAUGGGCGAAAGCCUGAUCCAGCCAUGCCGCGUGUGUGAAGAAGGUCUUCGGAUUGUAAAGCACUUUAAGUUGGGAGGAAGGGCAGUUACCUAAUACGUGAUUGUUUUGACGUUACCGACAGAAUAAGCACCGGCUAACUCUGUGCCAGCAGCCGCGGUAAUACAGAGGGUGCAAGCGUUAAUCGGAAUUACUGGGCGUAAAGCGCGCGUAGGUGGUUUGUUAAGUUGGAUGUGAAAUCCCCGGGCUCAACCUGGGAACUGCAUUC